rnacentral:rRNA from 1 species
AACGAACGCUGGCGGCAGGCUUAACACAUGCAAGUCGAACGCGUGUAGCAAUACACGAGUGGCGCACGGGUGAGUAACGCGUGGAUAUCUGCCUUUUGGUUCGGAAUAACUCCGGGAAACUGGAGCUAAUACCGGAUGGUUCCUACGGGAUAAAGAUUUAUCGCCAAAAGAUGAGUCCGCGUACGAUUAGCUAGUUGGUGAGGUAAUGGCUCACCAAGGCGACGAUCGUUAGCUGGUCUGAGAGGAAGAUCAGCAACACUGGGACUGAGACACGGCCCAGAGUCCUACGGGAGGCAGCAGUGGGGAAUAUUGGACAAGGGGGGCAACCCUGAUCCAGCCAUGCCGCGUGAGUGAUGAAGGCCUUCGGGUUGUAAAGCUCUUUUGGCGGGGACGAUGAUGACGGUACCCGCAGAAUAAGCCCCGGCUAACUUCGUGCCAGCCGCCGCAGUAACAC